rnacentral:lncRNA from 1 species
UAAAACUGUCAUCCAUCUAAUUCCAGAACAAAACUGAGGAAAAAAGUAUCUCAAGGUAACAAUUAAUAGCCCCAAAAUCUCUAAACCACAUGAUAAUAACAAAAAAAAGAAAAAAAAACAAGAAAAGAAAAGACCCAACACGCCUCUAAAACAGUAAGGUAGUGUUUGGUAUGCAGGAAUGAGAGACUUUCACACAUACAAGGGCACACAUGGAAAAACAAAAGAAAUGUACACUUCUAAGAAUACAUAGAACUCCAUUAUUCUAGUAUGUUUUUGCCAAGUGUUGAAAAGAUGAUGACAGGUCAGAAAGGUGAGCUCACUUGCCACCUAAAGUAGGGAAGUGGCUCGGAUCUUCAAUUUUUGGGGCUUCAGGCGCAUAGCUUGAUGAACCACCUUGGUUGUACCGUCCACCACCUCUUGGACCACCACGUCC